rnacentral:rRNA from 1 species
UUGAACGCUGGUGGCAGGCUUAACACCUGCAAGUCGAACGGUAACAGGAAUUAGCUUGCUAAUUUGCUGACGAGUGGCGGACGGGUGAGUAAUGCUUGGGAAUCUGGCUUAUGGAGGGGGAUAACUACGGGAAACUGUAGCUAAUACCGCGUAAAAUCUUCGGAUUAAAGGGUGGGACUUUCGAGCCACCUGCCAUAAGAUGAGCCCAAGUGGGAUUAGGUAGUUGGUUAGGUAAAGGCUGACCAAGCCGACGAUCUCUAGCUGGUCUGAGAGGAUGACCAGCCACACUGGAACUGAGACACGGUCCAGACUCCUACGGGAGGCAGCAGUGGGGAAUAUUGCACAAUGGGGGGAACCCUGAUGCAGCCAUGCCGCGUGAAUGAAGAAGGCCUUCGGGUUGUAAAGUUCUUUCGGUGACGAGGAAGGUUGAUAGGUUAAUAGCCUAUCAAAUUGACGUUAAUCACAGAAGAAGCACCGGCUAACUCCGUG